rnacentral:rRNA from 1 species
UGGGGAAUUUUGGACAAUGGGCGAAAGCCUGAUCCAGCAAUGCCGCGUGUGUGAAGAAGGCCUUCGGGUUGUAAAGCACUUUUGUCCGGAAAGAAAUCCUUGGCUCUAAUACAGUCGGGGGAUGACGGUACCGGAAGAAUAAGCACCGGCUAACUACGUGCCAGCAGCCGCGGUAAUACGUAGGGUGCAAGCGUUAAUCGGAAUUACUGGGCGUAAAGCGUGCGCAGGCGGUUUGCUAAGACCGAUGUGAAAUCCCCGGGCUCAACCUGGGAACUGCAUUGGUGACUGGCAGGCUAGAGUAUGGCAGAGGGGGGUAGAAUUCCACGUGUAGCAGUGAAAUGCGUAGAGAUGUGGAGGAAUACCGAUGGCGAAGGCAGCCCCCUGGGCCAAUACUGACGCUCAUGCACGAAAGCGUGGGGAGCAAACAGGAUUAGAUACCCUGGUAGUCCACGCCCUAAAACGAUGUCAACUAGUUGUUGGGGAUUCAUUUCCUUAGUAACGUAGCUAACGCGUGAAGUUGACCGCCUGGGGAGUACGGUCGCAAGAUUAAAACUUAAAUGAAUUGACGGGGUCAUAGCUGUUCCU